GAGCCUGCUUGUGUAGGAUAGGUGGGAGGCUUUGAAGCGUGGACGCCAGUUCGCGUGGAGCCAUCCUUGAAAUACCACCCUGGCAUGCUUGAGGUUCUAACUCUGGUCCGUAAUCCGGAUCGAGGACAGUGUAUGGUGGGCAGUUUGACUGGGGCGGUCUCCUCCUAAAGAGUAACGGAGGAGUACGAAGGUGCGCUCAGACCGGUCGGAAAUCGGUCGCAGAGUAUAAAGGCAAAAGCGCGCUUGACUGCGAGACAGACACGUCGAGCAGGUACGAAAGUAGGUCUUAGUGAUCCGGUGGUUCUGUAUGGAAGGGCCAUCGCUCAACGGA
rnacentral:rRNA from 1 species